rnacentral:rRNA from 1 species
GAUGAACGCUAGCUACAGGCUUAACACAUGCAAGUCGCAGGGUAACAUGAGGAAAGCUUGCUUUCCUUGAUGACGACUGGCGCACGGGUGAGUAACGCGUAUCCAACCUUCCCAUAACUACGGGAUAACCCGUUGAAAGACGGCCUAAUACCGUAUGAUAUCGUUUGCUGACAUCAAAUAACGAUUAAAGGUUUUGCGGUUAUGGAUGGGGAUGCGUCUGAUUAGCUUGUUGGCGGGGUAACGGCCCACCAAGGCGACGAUCAGUAGGGGUUCUGAGAGGAAGGUCCCCCACAUUGGAACUGAGACACGGUCCAAACUCCUACGGGAGGCAGCAGUGAGGAAUAUUGGUCAAUGGGCGAGAGCCUGAACCAGCCAAGUAGCGUGCAGGACGACGGCCCUAUGGGUUGUAAACUGCUUUUAUGUGGGGAUAAAGUGCGUGACGUGUCAUGCAUUGCAGGUACCACAUGAAUAAGGACCGGCUAAUUCCGUG